CCUACGGGAGGCAGCAGUCGGGAAUUUUGCACAAUGGCCGAAAGGCUGAUGCAGCAACGCCGCGUGGGGGAGGAAGGCCUUCGGGUUGUAAACCCCUGUUGCCCGUGACGAACGGCUUUGGUAGGAAAUGACCAGAGUUUGACGGUAGCGGGUGAGGAAGCCACGGCUAACUACGUGCCAGCAGCCGCGGUAAU
rnacentral:rRNA from 1 species